rnacentral:rRNA from 1 species
UACGAAGGGGGCUAGCGUUGCUCGGAAUCACUGGGCGUAAAGCGCACGUAGGCGGCUUUUUAAGUCAGGGGUGAAAUCCUGGAGCUCAACUCCAGAACUGCCUUUGAUACUGAAGAUCUUGAGUCCGGGAGAGGUGAGUGGAACUGCGAGUGUAGAGGUGAAAUUCGUAGAUAUUCGCAAGAACACCAGUGGCGAAGGCGGCUCACUGGCCCGGUACUGACGCUGAGGCACGAAAGCGUGGGGAGCAAACAGGG